rnacentral:lncRNA from 1 species
ACAUUUAAGGUCUAGGGAGGGAGGAAUCUUUCAAAAACUGGAAUAUGACUUAAACAAAAGUUUGGAGGUUUUGCGGAAAAGUAACACAAGGGAAAACGUUCAGAACUUUCAAAGAGGUAGUAGCAGUUUUAGAAAAUCUACAGAUUCAUCAAAAAAUGUUUGUGGAACAUAGUUUGCGGACAAGUAGAAUAGAAAUAUUUUGAGGUUGCAGAAGUAUAAAGGAAAACAUGUCAGG